rnacentral:rRNA from 1 species
AUAAUCAUUAGUUUCUUAAUUAGAAAAUGGAAUGAAUGAUUUAACCGAAAAAUAUUUUAUUAAAAUUAGAAUAUUGAAUUUAGAUUGUAAGUGAAAAUACUUAAAUAGUUUUAUUAGACGAUAAGACCCUAUAGAUCUUUAUUUAUAUUAGUUUUUAAUUUUAUUGGAAGAAGUUUUAAAAGGUAUAAAAAAUUUUGUUGGGGUAACAUGAGAAUAUGAAAAAUUUCUUUAUACAAUAAAAAUAACAGAGUAUUUAUUUAAUUUAAAUUUUUAAAAGUAAAAAGUUACCUUAGGGAUAACAGCGUAAUUGAACUGGAGAGUUCAAAUUGAUAGAUUAGAUUGCGACCUCGAUGUUGAAUUAUAAAACCUUAAAGGAGCAGUAUUCUUUAAAGGCGGUUUGUUCAACCGUUAAAUUUUUACAUGAUUUGAGUUCAAACCGGCGUGA